CGAGGGGUGCAAGCGUUAAUCGGAAUUACUGGGCGUAAAGCGUGCGUAGGCGGUUUCUUAAGUCCGUUGUGAAAGCCCUGGGCUCAACCUGGGAAUGGCAGUGGAUACUGGGAAGCUAGAGUCAGGUAGAGGGUGGUGGAAUUCCCGGUGUAGCGGUGAAAUGCGUAGAGAUCGGGAGGAACAUCUGUGGCGAAGGCGGCCACCUGGACCAUGACUGACGCUGAGGCACGAAAGGCGUGGGGAGCAAACAGGAUUAGAUACCCUGGUAGUCCACGCCCUAAACGAUGCGAACUGGAUGUUGGGCUCAACUCGGAGCUCAGUGUCGAAGCUAACGCGUUAAGUUCGCCGCCUGGGGAGUACGGUCGCAAGACUG
rnacentral:rRNA from 1 species